GACGAACGCUGGCGGCGUGCUUAACACAUGCAAGUCGAACGGAAAGGCCCUGCUUUUGUGGGGUGCUCGAGUGGCGAACGGGUGAGUAACACGUGAGUAACCUGCCCUUGACUUUGGGAUAACUUCAGGAAACUGGGGCUAAUACCGGAUAGGAGCUCCUGCUGCAUGGUGGGGGUUGGAAAGUUUCGGCGGUUGGGGAUGGACUCGCGGCUUAUCAGCUUGUUGGUGGGGCAGUGGCUUACCAAGGCUUGGACGGGUAGCCGGCCUGAGAGGGUGAGAGAGCACAGUGGGAGGAGGAAGCGGCGCAGACUCCAAGGGGGGGAGAGGGUGGCGAAUAUAGCAAUAGGGAGGAAAGCCUAGAUCAACAACGCCGGGGGUGGGAUGGGGGCGUUCGGGUAUCAACCGUGUUUCGCAUGUGACGAAGUGGAUGUGGGGAUAAUGGGGAAAGAAACGCGGAGGAAUUUGGUU
rnacentral:rRNA from 1 species